rnacentral:tmRNA from 1 species
GGGGACGUUUUGGAUUAGACAGGGCGACUGAUGUGAGUAAGCGGCGAGUCGGAGCGCUGUUCUCCGUUACCAACGAGCAAAAAAAAAUAAACGACAACAACAUUGUUAGUCACCUCAACUUCAGAAACGCUGUAGCGCAAGCUGCAUAGUCGUCUCUGAUGAGGCACUGAAUAAUUUUCUUCGGUAGGAUUAUUCGGUCACCAAUAUCGAACGCUUUCUGCAAUUAAGGGUACGCAGAACUAAGACAAGCCCUUAAAGCUUGUGCAAGCUUUAAAUGUUCUUGAUUUUAGUCAAGGGUUUGACACUGACCUGGCUAAGAUGACACCAACCAGUUGUCUAUACUCGUAGAUGUUUGCGAAUAUCCGUUCUGGACGAGGGUUCGAAUCUCUCCGUCUCCACCA